UGACCCUCUAGAGAUAGAGCCUUCCCCUUCGGGGGACAAAGUGACAGGUGGUGCAUGGUUGUCGUCAGCUCGUGUCGUGAGAUGUUGGGUUAAGUCCCGCAACGAGCGCAACCCUUAAGCUUAGUUGCCAUCAUUAAGUUGGGCACUCUAGGUUGACUGCCGGUGACAAACCGGAGGAAGGUGGGGAUGACGUCAAAUCAUCAUGCCCCUUAUGAUUUGGGCUACACACGUGCUACAAUGGACAAUACAAAGGGCAGCUAAACCGCGAGGUCAUGCAAAUCCCAUAAAGUUGUUCUCAGUUCGGAUUGUAGUCUGCAACUCGACUACAUGAAGCUGGAAUCGCUAGUAAUCGUAGAUCAGCAUGCUACGGUGAAUACGUUCCCGGGUCUUGUACACACCGAAA
rnacentral:rRNA from 1 species